rnacentral:rRNA from 1 species
UACGGAAGGCAGCAGUGGGGAAUAUUGCACAAUGGGCGCAAGCCUGAUGCAGCCAUGCCGCGUGUAUGAAGAAGGCCUUCGGGUUGUAAAGUACUUUCAGUCGUGAGGAAGGUGUUAAGGUUAAUAACCUUAGCAAUUGACGUUAGCGACAGAAGAAGCACCGGCUAACUCCGUGCCAGCAGCCGCGGUAAUACGGAGGGUGCGAGCGUUAAUCGGAAUUACUGGGCGUAAAGGGCACGCAGGCGGUUAAUUAAGUUGGAUGUGAAAUCCCCGGGCUUAACCUGGGAAUGGCAUUCAAGACUGGUUAGCUAGAGUCUUGUAGAGGGGGUAGAAUUCCAUGUGUAGCGGUGAAAUGCGUAGAGAUGUGGAGGAAUACCGGUGGCGAGGCGGCCCCUGGACAAAGACUGACGCUCAUGUGCGAAGCGUGGGGAGCAACAGGGAUUAGAUACC